rnacentral:rRNA from 1 species
UACGUAGGGUGCAAGCGUUAAUCGGAAUUACUGGGCGUAAAGCGUGCGUAGGUGGUUCGUUAAGUCUGAUGUGAAAGCCCUGGGCUCAACCUGGGAAUGGCAUUGGAUACUGGCGACCUAGAGUGCGGUAGAGGGGUGUGGAAUUCCCGGUGUAGCAGUGAAAUGCGUAGAUAUCAGGAAGAACACCCGUGGCGAAGGCGGCUCUCUGGAACGCAACUGACGCUGAGACGCGAAAGCGUGGGGAGCAAACAGG